GGGGGGGGCUGCUGUGGGUCCCCAUUGAACCUUCCUCCCCCCGCAGUAUUCCUCAGCACAGAGCGACCCCACAGCCCUGCAGCAGCAGCAGCCCUAUUACCAAUGGUACCAGCCCUACAGCUACUCCUACCCCUACAACUACUACUACCCCAUGGUGAGCGGGGGGGGGGGCAGGACGGGGGGACCCCAACCCUAUGGGGGGGCUCAGUGCAAUUGGGGCGAGUUUGGGGGCUCAUUUCGUUGUAUGGGGGGGGGUCACACAAUGGCUGGAGCUGUGCCCCCAUGUUAUGGUUUAGGAUGGGGGUGGACCCCGAGUGUUCAACCCACAAUAGGGGCAGGGACCCCCACGUGGGGCGGUUAUGGGGCAGCUUGUGGGGCUGGGUCUUGUAGGGGUGAAUCAGGGGGUCCUUAUUGUGCCUGUGGGGUCCCGCAGUUGCUGACCGUGUUGUUUUUCCCCCCAUUAUGACCCCCAGCAAAACGUCUAUUCGGGGUACGGGGCUGCAGCCCCAUAUGGCACCACGGGCACUUAUGGGGCUGCCCCCCAGCAGCCCCCCACCCCCGGGCAGCAGAGCGGCCUCAGCCAGCAGCCUCCAGUCCCGGGUCUGGACGAUGCCGCCCCCUACAACAGCUCCCAGCCCCAAAUGCCCCCCAGCGCCGCCCCCCCCCAGCCCCCCCAGCCUCACCCCAUGGGCACGGGGGGGGCUCAGCCCCAAGGGGGUGGGGGGGGCCCUCAGCCCAGCCCCACUGCUGCCUACCCCCCCCACUCCUACACCGAGAGCCCCGGCCCCAAACCCAAGAAGGGGCAGCAGCUGUGGAACAGGAUGAAGCGUGAGUAAUGGGGCGGGUUUGGGGUGGGCUCCAUUUGGGGGCCCCCAGAGCCUCACUUUGCCCACCCAAUAUUGCCCCUGGAUCUCUCUCCAGCCCCCCAAGCCCUUCAGACCCCCAGAUGCUGCCCCCAAACCCCCAUU
rnacentral:lncRNA from 1 species